rnacentral:piRNA from 1 species
UGCUGUAUAUGUGUUGGGGGCCUCAUC